UGAGAAAUUCCAUGUGUUUCUAAAUAUCGCCUAAGUUCACAACUGGAACUCUCCCCCAUUGUCACUACGUAGAAUUCUUACUCGGGCAUUAUAUUGAGUGCAAAUCAUUUUAUGAAAUUUUUGAAACAACAAAUUCAUUUUACUUUUGAACUUCAUCAGACACACCCAAGUCAUUCUAGUACAAUCGUCAUAAAAGUAACAAACCAACGUGAUCCACCUAACGUAUUCACCUUGGAUGGACCCCAAACUUCUGAAUGUAUGAUCAUAAAAGGAAUUGAACUUUUAUUCAUUUUUGGUGAAAAAGACACACGGUGACUCUUUGAAUGUUCACUGACAUCACAAUGGAAAUCAGAAACAUCAAAUUUUGUAAUAACUUAGGAAACAAUUUAAUAAGAUAUCCAAUAUAAGCAUGUCCCAAUCGUCGAUGCCAUAGCAAAUAUCAUAUUUUCUUGUUUUGUCCUUACAACUAAACACAUCAACCGAUAAUGUUUGGCGCAACUGAUUAGAACUUUUUGACUCCAAAUCAAAGUAAUACAACUUCUCUCGUCUAGUACCAUAACUAAUCGUCUUCCUCAUCUGGAUGUCCUUAAACACACAAUAGUCAGGCCAAAACAUCACAACACAAGAUAGAGUAGUGUGUAAUUUGAGAAUUAGAAAAAAGGUUACAAUCCAACGAUGGAACUACUAAGACACUGUAUAAAUUCAAAUUAAUGAGAGACAAAAAUCCUUCCCCAAUGAUAGGUGUCGAAGAACCAUUAGUGGUGGAAAGAUACUUUUGUGACGAUGGUUUAAGGGAUAAAACUUGUCUACAAUCAAAUUUCAUAUGAUCCGUAGCUCCGGAAUCAGUUAUCCAUGUACUAUUAGAAACAAGUGCAGAUGAAUUGAAAGCCUUACCAUUGUUACCUCUCGUUGCUACGAAGGUUGUUGAUUGUCCAGCAACACCUUCCUUGGCAUUUGUUUCUACAAUGCAACAGUGGAACUCUUGUUUGCGUUAUCUUUCUGGAAUCACAGUUAUGAUCCCAACAUUUUGGAUAUCCCAUAAUUUCAAAACAACGAUCUUUUGUGUGCCCUGACUGAUCAUUAUGAGUACACUUAUAAGUGGACUUGUUGAUACCCUUAAACCUCAUUCGAUCUUGUUGACUUUGAGAGAAUCGAUUUCCAUUAGAUCUAUAUUUGCUGACCAUGGCUGCUGCUUCAGAUUUUUCAAGAUCUCCAUUCACUAUUGCAUGCCAAACCGAUUCACGACAAACCAUUGAGUAACAUUCUUUGAAUCUGGAACAGAAUCCUUCCUCAAGAUUUCCCCACAAAUCUUUUCAAAUUCACUAUCCAAACCAACAAAAUAAAGAUGUGCACCCUUUGUCGUUGAAUAGACUUGCGGUAAGAACUGACAUCCUUCUCAUUUUCCAUGAUCACCUUAUCACGGUGAUCCAACUCACAAAAAAUUUCAAUCAAUUCUCCAUAGUAGGAAGAGAGUGAUCUGCCAUUUUGUUUGGGGGAGAAGGCUUUUUGAUUCAAACUGAAGACUUAUAGUUCAUCUGCUCCAUAGUAGAAGGUUGUUGACAGAGCUUUCCAGAUUUCUCGAGUAGUAGAGCUUCUUAUAGUUUGCUGCUUCAUGGACUUCCAAGACAUAAGAGAAUCCCUUAACUUGAUCAUAUGUCAAGUCACAAAUCUUCUAGUGUUAGGGCAAGCUGCCCAAUGUCAGUCACAAAAAGUCUCUAGCUUUAGAAUGAAUUUACUACUUAAUAUCAAACCUUAAUCAUGACAACUUUUGAUGUAUUUGAAUAACCUCAAAGUUGCUUACGAGUUUGAUAUCUUAGGUUGCUACAUUAACUGUUUAAGUACAACAACAAAGGUUAUAUCAAUCCUAGUGAUAGUAUCGGAAUACAACCUACUCAGCAGCCCAUUCAACAAAGAAAAAAGGAAAUUAUGGAAGAUAUUGUGAAGAAGACAAUGACUGCUACAUUGAAAGAGAAGAAAGAACCAUAUGGAGUUUCAGAGAAGUCAAUAUUGUCUCAAUACAAAUGUCUGAGACACGUUCAGAAGCAAGGGCCAUUGAUCAGAUUUGUACUUAGAAUGGUCUCCAUCAUACACAAGACUCUAUUGCCAGCUGUAGCAAGGCAUAUGAUCAGUACAAAUUGCAAUACUUACUUAGACAUUAAUAAUUAGAGAAGUGUAAAUACUAGAAUUUUAUCUUUCUUUAUUUUUGCAUAGAUAGAGUUGUAAUAUAUAGAUUCAUUUUGAGCACAUAUCAAUAUAGAAAAUCUUCUCUAUAAUCUUCCAUCUUUCAAGUUUCAUCAAUUUCUAUCCGAUAGUAAUAUAGAUCAACCAUCCAAUCAGGCUUUGAUAGCUCUUUAUAUACUUGAACAUAAGAUCAUCAAUAAAUCUUUUGAGCUCAUCAUAUUGCACUGAGGUUAUACAAUUCAAAGUUCGCAAUUUUCAUAUGUGGGUGAUUUCAAAGACACUAUUCGAAGAACACUAAUUGAAGACAUUAUUCAAUAGUUUGAACAAUACAACUUUAUUUUCAAAAGCUCUGACAGGCUAUUUUUGAUACAUUACUUCCAUUUGUUUGUCAAGAUUUAAAGGGAUAAAUUCUAUUUUAAGGAUUAACAGUAAUGUCUUCACCAUUCGUGAAAAUUGUACUAUGAGGCUCUCUUUUGCGAGCAUGUUUGUUGGAUUUUUGGCGGCCAAACAAUUGCCGUUAAUUGUUAUGAUAUUUAUUGGCAAUUCAAUGGAAAUUUAGCCAUAAAAUGGACGCUAAAGGGGCAAA